CUCUGUGACUCCUACGGGGAGGCAGCAGUGGGGAAUAGUUGCACAAUGGGGGAAACCCUGAUGCAGCCAUGCCGCGUGUGUGAAGAAGGCCUUCGGGUUGUAAAGCACUUUCAGUAGGGAGGAAGGUAGUGUAGUUAACACCUGCACUAUUUGACGUUACCUACAGAAGAAGCACCGGCUAACUCCGUGCCAGCAGCCGCGGUAAUACGGAGGGUGCGAGCGUUAAUCGGAAUUACUGGGCGUAAAGCGCAUGCAGGCGGCCUGUUAAGUCAGAUGUGAAAGCCCGGGGCUUAACCUCGGAAUUGCAUUUGAAACUGGCAGGCUAGAGUCUUGUAGAGGGGGGUAGGAAUUUCAGGUGUAGCGGUGAAAUGCGUAGAGAUCUGAAGGAAUACCAGUGGCGAAGGCGGCCCCCUGGACAAAGACUGACGCUCAGAUGCGAAAGCGUGGGGAGCAAACAGGAUUAGAUACCCUGGUAG
rnacentral:rRNA from 1 species